UACGUAGGGGCCUAGCGUUGUCCGGAUUUAUUGGGCGUAAAGAGCUCGUAGGCGGUUUGGUGAGUCGGGUGUGAAAUCUCCACGCUCAACGUGGAGGGGCCACCCGUACUGCCAUGACUAGAGUCCGGUAGGGGAGUGUGGAAUUCCCGGUGUAGCGGUGAAAUUCGUAGAUAUUGGGAAGAACACCGGGUGGCGAAGGCGGCGACCUGGUCCGAUGACUGACGCUGAGGAGCGAAAGCAUGGGUAGCGAACAGG
rnacentral:rRNA from 1 species